rnacentral:rRNA from 1 species
AUUGAACGCUGGCGGCAGGCUUAACACAUGCAAGUCGAGCGGAGAUGAGGUGCUUGCACCUUAUCUUAGCGGCGGACGGGUGAGUAAUGCAUAGGAAUCUGCCUAUUAGUGGGGGACAACAUUCCGAAAGGAAUGCUAAUACCGCAUACGUCCUACGGGAGAAAGCAGGGGAUCUUCGGACCUUGCGCUAAUAGAUGAGCCUAAGUCGGAUUAGCUAGUUGGUGGGGUAAAGGCCUACCAAGGCGACGAUCUGUAGCGGGUCUGAGAGGAUGAGCCGCCACACUGGGACUGAGACACGGCCCAGACUCCUACGGGAGGCAGCAGUGGGGAAUAUUGGCCAAUGGGUGAAACCCUGAUCCAGCCAUGCCGCGUGUGUGAAGAAGGCCUUAUGGUUGUAAAGCACUUUAAGCGAGGAGGAGGCUACUGAGACUAAUACUCUUGGAUAGUGGACGUUACUCGCAGAAUAAGCACCGGCUCACUCUGUGCCAGCCGCCGCGGUAA